GACGAACGCUGGCGGCGUGCCUAACACAUGCAAGUCGAACGAGGUCCAUCCUUCGGGAGAAGACCUAGUGGCGAACGGGUGAGUAACACGUGAAGAACCUGCCCCGAAGACCGGGAUAACCCUCCGAAAGGAGAGCUAAUACCGGAUACCCCCACCGAACCGCAUGGUUUGGUGAGGAAAUGGAUUCCGCUUCGGGAGGGCUUCGCGGCCUAUCAGCUAGUUGGUGGGGUAACGGCCCACAAGGCAUCGACGGGUAGCUGGUCUGAGAGGACGAUCAGCCACACUGGGACUGAGACACGGCCCAGACUCCUACGGGAGGCAGCAGUGGGGAAUCUUGCGCAAUGGGCGAAAGCCUGACGCAGCAACGCCGCGUGGGGGAUGAAGGCUCUCGGGUUGUAAACCCCUUUCAGCAGGGACGAAUCAAGACGGUACCUGCAGAAGAAGCCCCCGGCUAACUACGUGCCAGCAGCCGCGGU
rnacentral:rRNA from 1 species